GGGGGGACAGGGUGACAGGUGGUGCAUGGUUGUCGGUCAGCUCGUGUCGUGAGAUGUUGGGUUAAGUCCCGCAACGAGCGCAACCCUCGACCUUAGUUGCCAGCACUCAGUUGGGCACUCUAAGGUGACUGCCGGCUAAAAGUCGGAGGAAGGUGGGGAUGACGUCAAAUCAUCAUGCCCCUUAUGACCUGGGCUACACACGUGCUACAAUGGGCGGUACAAAGGGUCGCGAACCCGCGAGGGGGAGCCAAUCCCAAAAAGCCGCUCUCAGUUCGGAUUGCAGGCUGCAACUCGCCUGCAUGAAGCCGGAAUCGCUAGUAAUCGCGGAUCAGCAUGCCGCGGUGAAUACGUUCCCGGGCCUU
rnacentral:rRNA from 1 species